GACGAACGCUGGCGGCGUGCUUAACACAUGCAAGUCGAACGGAAAGGCCCUGCUUUUGUGGGGUGCUCGAGUGGCGAACGGGUGAGUAACACGUGAGUAACCUGCCCUUGACUUUGGGAUAACUUCAGGAAACUGGGGCUAAUACCGGAUAGGAGCUCCUGCUGCAUGGUGGGGGUUGGAAAGUUUCGGCGGUUGGGGAUGGACUCGCGGCUUAUCAGCUUGUUGGUGGGGUAGUGGCUUACCAAGGCUUUGACGGGUAGCCGGCCUGAGAGGGUGACCGGCCACAUUGGGACUGGAAUAAGACCCAGACUCCUACGGGAGGCAGCAGUGGGGAAUAUUACACAAUGGGCGGAAGCCUGAUGCAGCAACGCCGCGUGCGGGAUGACGGCCUUCGGGUUGUAAACCACUUUCGCCUGUGACGAAGCGUGAGUGACGGUAAUGGGUAAAGAAGCACCGGCUAACUACGUG
rnacentral:rRNA from 1 species